AGAGUUUGAUCAUGGCUCAGGAUGAACGCUGGCGGCGUGCCUAACACAUGCAAGUCGAGCGUGAACCCUGAGAAUGAAACUUCGGUCGAUUUUGCAGGAGGAAAGCGGCGGACGGGUGAGUAACGCGUAGGUAACCUGCCCCAUACUGAGGGAUAGCCUCGGGAAACCGGGAUUAAUACCUCAUAACACCGUUUGUUCGCAUGGACGAACGGUCAAAGAUUUACCGGUAUGGGAUGGGCCUGCGUCUGAUUAGCUGGUUGGUGGGGUAACGGCCUACCAAGGCGACGAUCAGUAGCCGACCUGAGAGGGUGAUCGGCCACAUUGGAACUGAGACACGGUCCAAACUCCUACGGGAGGCAGCAGUGGGGAAUAUUGCACAAUGGGCGAAAGCCUGAUGCAGCAACGCCGCGUGAGCGAAGAAGGCCUUUGGGUUGUAAAGCUCUGUCGGGUAGGAAGAUAAUGACGGUACUACCCGAGGAAGCCCCGGCUAACUACGUGUCAGCAGCCGCGGUAAUACGUAGGGGGCGAGCGUUAUCCGGAAUUACUGGGUGUAAAGGGUGCGUAGGUGGCUGCUUAAGCGUGAGGUGAAAGGCAAUGGCUUAACCAUUGUGAGCCUCGCGAACUGGGUGGCUUGAGUGCAGGAGAGGAAAGCGGAAUUCCUAGUGUAGCGGUGAAAUGCGUAGAUAUUAGGAGGAACACCAGUGGCGAAGGCGGCUUUCUGGACUGCAACUGACACUGAGGCACGAAAGCGUGGGGAGCAAACAGGAUUAGAUACCCUGGUAGUCCACGCCGUAAACGAUGAGCACUAGUGUCGGGGUCGCAAGACUUCGGUGCCGCAGUUAACGCAUUAAGUGCUCCGCCUGGGGAGUACGCACGCAAGUGUGAAACUUAAAUGAAUUGACGG
rnacentral:rRNA from 1 species